AGAGUUUGAUCAUGGCUCAGGACGAACGCUGGCGGCGUGCUUAACACAUGCAAGUCGAACGGUGACCCAAGAGCUUGCUCUUGGUGAUCAGUGGCGAACGGGUGAGUAACACGUGAGUAACCUGCCCCAGACUCUGGAAUAACCCCGGGAAACCGGAGCUAAUACCGGAUAUGACACGGAGCUGCAUGGCUACCGUGUGGAAAGUUUUUCGGUCUGGGAUGGACUCGCGGCCUAUCAGCUUGUUGGUGAGGUAAUGGCUCACCAAGGCGACGACGGGUAGCCGGCCUGAGAGGGCGACCGGCCACACUGGGACUGAGACACGGCCCAGACUCCUACGGGAGGCAGCAGUGGGGAAUAUUGCACAAUGGGCGCAAGCCUGAUGCAGCGACGCCGCGUGAGGGAUGACGGCCUUCGGGUUGUAAACCUCUUUCAGCAGGGAAGAAGCGCAAGUGACGGUACCUGCAGAAGAAGCACCGGCUAACUACGUGCCAGCAGCCGCGGUAAUACGUAGGGUGCGAGCGUUGUCCGGAAUUAUUGGGCGUAAAGAGCUUGUAGGCGGUUUGUCGCGUCUGCCGUGAAAAUCCGAGGCUCAACCUCGGACUUGCGGUGGGUACGGGCAGACUAGAGUGUGGUAGGGGAGACUGGAAUUCCUGGUGUAGCGGUGAAAUGCGCAGAUAUCAGGAGGAACACCGAUGGCGAAGGCAGGUCUCUGGGCCACUACUGACGCUGAGAAGCGAAAGCAUGGGGAGCGAACAGGAUUAGAUACCCUGGUAGUCCAUGCCGUAAACGUUGGGAACUAGGUGUGGGUCUCAUUCCACGAGAUCCGUGCCGCAGCUAACGCAUUAAGUUCCCCGCCUGGGGAGUACGGCCGCAAGGCUAAAACUCAAGGGAAUUGACGG
rnacentral:rRNA from 1 species